GUGAGGAAUAUUGCGCAAUGGAGGCAACUCUGACGCAGCCAUGCCGCGUGCAGGAAGAAGGCGCUACGCGUUGUAAACUGCUUUUAACCGGGAAGAAACCCCAGGACGUGUCCUGGGUUGACGGUACCGGAGGAAUAAGCACCGGCUAACUUCGUGCCAGCAGCCGCGGUAAUACGAAGGGUGCAAGCGUUAUCCGGAUUCAUUGGGUUUAAAGGGUGCGUAGGCGGAGCGUUAAGUCAGUGGUGAAAUCCUGCAGCUUAACUGUAGACUUGCCAUUGAUACUGGCGCGCUUGAGUGCGCUUGAAGUGGGCGGAAUGUGCCGUGUAGCGGUGAAAUGCUUAGAUAUGGCACAGAACACCAAUUGCGAAGGCAGCUCACUAAGGCGAUACUGACGCUGAGGCACGAAAGCGUGGGGAUCGAACAGGAUUAGAUACCCCAGUAGUCC
rnacentral:rRNA from 1 species